CGCGUGUGUGAAGAAGGCCUUAGGGUUGUAAAGCACUUUCAGUAGGGAAGAAAUGCGUGUAGCUAAUAACUACGCGUUUUGACGGUACCUACAGAAGAAGCACCGGCUAACUCCGUGCCAGCAGCCGCGGUAAUACGGAGGGUGCAAGCGUUAAUCGGAAUUACUGGGCGUAAAGCGCGCGUAGGCGGUUAUAUAAGUCAGAUGUGAAAGCCCUGGGCUCAACCUGGGAACUGCAUUUGAUACUGUAUAACUAGAGUUUGGUAGAGGGAAGUGGAAUUCCACAUGUAGCGGUGAAAUGCGUAGAUAUGUGGAGGAACACCGGUGGCGAAGGCGACUUCCUGGACCAAAACUGACGCUGAGGUGCGAAAGCGUGGGUAGCAAACAGGAUUAGAUACCCUGGUAGUCCACGCCGUAAACGAUGUCAACUAGCCGUUGGGGGAAUUUGUCCCUUAGUGGCGUAGCUA
rnacentral:rRNA from 1 species